AUUUUUCAGGUUUUCAAUUCAAAAACAGCUGAACUACUUAGUCAUCAUCAAGUGGAAAUAAAACAAGAGUUCCCAAGAGAAGGAUGGGUGGAACAGGACCCUAAAGAAAUUCUACAUUCUGUCUAUGAGUGUAUAGAGAAAACAUGUGAGAAACUUGGACAGCUCAAUAUUGAUAUUUCCAACAUAAAAGAUAACCUUACCUCCUGCUUCACGGAGAAAGUUGAGGCUCUGCGGCCUUAAAUCCUCACCUUCCUGUUCCUGUGCUUUAUAUCUGGAUCUCCUGCCAACUUUCCUUCAUCACAAGCACAGCAAUAGCCUUCUGCCCUACUUGGAGCUCCUCCCUCCACUUGUGCUGGUAAUCCAUCCUCUCCUGUCACUACAUCAGUCAGAACCAAGUCCCCAUUGAUUCCCAGCCCCAUCCAUCCCCUCAUUCUCCUUUCUGUUUAUUUACUUUUAUAAACAUUUUUGUCUUACCCAGAAUCUCUUCCCUGUACCCUAUGCCUCUAAAUUUCUUUGGAGUAGAAUCUCAAUCAUCUUUGUAUCUCUAGAAAAGAUUUAAAAUAUAUAUAUAAACUUUUAUUUUCAAUACAGAGGGUACAUGUGCAGGUUUGUUAUGUAAGUAUAUUGCAUGAUGCUGAGUGCUGAGGUUUGGAGUACAGAUCCCGUGACCCAGUUAGUGAGCAUACCACCCAAUAGGUAGUUUUAGAAAAGAUAUUAAAUAAAGUAAGUCAAUCUGCAUUGGAUAAAUAGUAUUAGAACAAGGGAGCUGAUGGUUCCCCCUCAGCUCUGUGCUGGUCAGAACAUUCCUAGAGUAUUGUGAUUUAUUCUGGGCGUACAAUUUGAGUGAUGUGGACAUAUACUUGCAUGUUGCUAGGCGUGGUGAUAAAGGGACUUUAAACCAUGCCGUGUUUAGGCAGGGUCAGCUGAAGGAAAUUGGAUUGUUUAGCCUACAUAGCAGAAGACUUGAGGUACAAAAGAGCUGCUUCAAGUUUUUGAAAG